rnacentral:ribozyme from 1 species
UGCCAGCAACUCCUAUCCCUACCUCCACGCGGUACCGGCCGGAAACUAUGAGCAACCUUAGGGAAGAUCGGGUAACCAACCCCGGUGGGAACUUUGGUCGUAGGCUGACAGGGAAGG